rnacentral:rRNA from 1 species
GACGAACGCUGGCGGCGUGCUUAACACAUGCAAGUCGAACGGUAAGGCCCUUCGGGGUACACGAGUGGCGAACGGGUGAGUAACACGUGGGUGAUCUGCCCUGCACUUUGGGAUGAGCCUGGGAAACUGGGUCUAAUACCGGAUAGGACCGCGCACUAAUGGUGUGGGGUGGAAAGCUUUUGCGGUGUGGGAUGGGCCCGCGGCCUAUCAGCUUGUUGGUGGGGUAAUGGCCUACCAAGGCGACGACGGGUAGCCGGCCUGAGAGGGUGUCCGGCCACACUGGGACUGAGAUACGGCCCAGACUCCUACGGGAGGCAGCAGUGGGGAAUAUUGCACAAUGGGCGCAAGCCUGAUGCAGCGACGCCGCGUGGGGGAUGACGGCCUUCGGGUUGUAAACCUCUUUCAGUAGGGACGAAGCGCAAGUGACGGUACCUACAGAAGAGGCACCGGCCAACUACGUGCCAGCCGCCGCAGUAA